GAUUAUAUGAAGUGAUAAUUAAUUAUUCAAGUAUGACUUGUGAUAAUCGAUUAUUGCUUCAUGAUAAUCGAUUAUUCUAGUACAAAAACAUGUGAUAAUCGAUUAUAGCUUGACCAUAAUCGAUUAUAUUAGUAAGAAUUACAAUAUUACAAUAUUUUCCUACUACAUUAAAAACCUACAAGUUGCUUUUUAAAUAUUUUCCUAUUAUAUUCAAAAUCUACAAGUUGCAGCAUCAUCAAAACUCAUCUUCAGGUUUUACCUAUACUCCCUUAUUGGUAACAAUCUCCCCCUUUUUGAUGAUGAUCAAAAAUUCUCUUUUUAAAAGCAACGCAGGUUUACCUGCAACACAUACAAACUAAAAAACAGCCACAGAGUUAGCAGUACCUGUACAAUUGAAAAAUAUUUCUCUCCUUAAUUCUCCCUUAAUAUUUCUUCUCCCCCUUUUUGAUCAUAAGCAAAAAAAUAAUGUAAAAAUCUCCCCCUUAAUAUGAGCUCCCCCUCAAAAAUAUAAUAUAUGCAUAAAAUUGUCAUAAAAGCUCAAUAUAUUAAGAACAGAAGGAAAUUACAUGAAAUGCAUAAAGAUCAAGUCUA
rnacentral:lncRNA from 1 species